rnacentral:rRNA from 1 species
AACGAACGCUGGCGGCAUGCCUAACACAUGCAAGUCGAACGAGAUCUUCGGGUCUAGUGGCGCACGGGUGCGUAACGCGUGGGAAUCUGCCCUUUGGUUCGGAAUAACAGUUGGAAACGACUGCUAAUACCGGAUGAUGACGAAAGUCCAAAGAUUUAUCGCCAGAGGAUGAGCUCGCGUAGGAUUAGCUAGUUGGUGUGGUAAAGGCGCACCACGGCGACGGUCCUUAGCUGGUCUGAGAGGAUGAUCAGCCACACUGGGACUGAGACACGGCCCAGACUCCUACGGGAGGCAGCAGUGGGGAAUAUUGGACAAUGGGCGAAAGCCUGAUCCAGCAAUGCCGCGUGAGUGAUGAAGGCCUUAGGGUUGUAAAGCUCUUUUACCCGGGAUGAUAAUGACAGUACCGGGAGAAUAAGCUCCGGCUAACUCCGUGCCGGCCGCCGCCGUAA